rnacentral:rRNA from 1 species
ACUUAGUGGCAGACGGGUGAGUAACAUGUGGGUAUCUACCCUUUGGCCUGGAAUAACACGAGGAAACUUGUGCUAAUACCGGAUAAGUCUUUACGGAGAAAGCUUUAUGCACCAUUGGAUGAGCCCGCACUUGAUUAGUUUGUUGGUAGGGUAAUGGCCUACCAAGACUAUGAUCAAUAGCUGAUUUGAGAGGAUGAUCAGCCACAUUGGGACUGAGACACGGCCCAAACUCCUACGGGAGGCAGCAGUGGGGAAUCUUGCACAAUGGAGGAAACUCUGAUGCAGCGAUGCCGCGUGAGUGAAGAAGGCCCUUGGGUUGUAAAGCUCUUUCGUCGGGGAAGAAAAUGACUGUACCCGAAUAAGAAGGUCCGGCUAACUUCGUGCCAGCAGCCGCGGUAAUACGAAGGGACCUAGCGUAGUUCGGAAUUACUGGGCUUAAAGAGUUCGUAGGUGGUUGAAAAAGUUGGUGGUGAAAUCCCAGAGCUUAACUCUGGAACUGCCAUCAAAACUUUUCAGCUAGAGUAUGAUAGAGGAAAGCAGAAUUUCUAGUGUAGAGGUGAAAUUCGUAGAUAUUA